rnacentral:rRNA from 1 species
UACGUAGGGUGCUAGCGUUAUUCGGAAUUACUGGGCGUAAAGCGCACGUAGGCGGUUUUAUAAGUCGGAUGUGAAAGCCCCGGGCUUAACCUGGGAAUUGCAUCCGAGACUGUCUGACUUGAGUAUGCUAGAGGGAAGUGGAAUUCCAGGUGUAGCGGUGAAAUGCGUAGAUAUCUGGAGGAACACCAAUGGCGAAGGCAGCUUCCUGGGGCAAUACUGACGCUGAGGUGCGAAAGCGUGGGGAGCAAACAGG